rnacentral:rRNA from 1 species
UACAGAGGUGGCAAGCGUUGUUCGGAAUUACUGGGCGUAAAGGGCGCGUAGGCGGCCUGCCACGUCGGGUGUGAAAGCUCAGGGCUUAACCCUGAGAGGCCAUUCGAUACGGGCAGGCUAGAGGUAGGUAGGGGAAAGUGGAAUUCCUGGUGUAGCGGUGAAAUGCGCAGAUAUCAGGAGGAACACCGGUGGCGAAGGCGGCUUUCUGGGCCUUACCUGACGCUGAGGAGCGAAAGCUGGGGGAGCGAACAGG